CAGUCGCCACGGUAAUACGUAGGUCCCGAGCGUUGUCCGGAUUUAUUGGGCGUAAAGGGAGCGCAGGCGGUUUAGUAAGUCUGAAGUUAAAGGCAUUGGCUCAACCAAUGUAUGCUUUGGAAACUGUUAGACUUGAGUGCAGAAGGGGAGAGUGGAAUUCCAUGUGUAGCGGUGAAAUGCGUAGAUAUAUGGAGGAACACCGGUGGCGAAAGCGGCUCUCUGGUCUGUCACUGACGCUGAGGCUCGAAAGCGUGGGUAGCGAACAGGGUUAGAUACCCCAGUAGUCCCUGUCUCUUAUACA
rnacentral:rRNA from 1 species